GUGCCAGCCGCCGCGGUAAUACGGAGGGUGCAAGCGUUGUCCGGAUUUAUUGGGUUUAAAGGGUACGUAGGCGGGUGUCUAAGUCAGUGGUGAAAGCCUACAGCUCAACUGUGGAAUUGCCAUUGAUACUGGAUGUCUUGAGUAUAGUUGAGGUGGGCAGAAUUCAUGGUGUAGCGGUGAAAUGCAUAGAUACCAUGAGGAAUACCGAUAGGGAAGCCAGCUCACUGGACUAUUACUGACGCUAAGGUACGAAAGCGUGGGGAGCGAACAGGAUUAGAAACCCUGGUAGUCC
rnacentral:rRNA from 1 species